rnacentral:lncRNA from 10 species
UUAACCUAUACCACUUUAAGAAUCAAAUCAAUUAUUUUUCUAUUCUCUUUUUUGUUCUUGUUUCCAGAGCGACAUAGGGCCAGUAGUCUUGCUUCAUAGGAACUAGCUGUACUGGCAUAGAGAAACAUUACCCAUUCCACCUGUAAAGACAGGAGGACAGGAAGCAAGGCAUGACAGCCUAGGGCAAGCCUCCAUAAAGCUGCAUAAAAGGCGUGGUCUGCCAAUCCACAUGUUGGCACCACAGACCUGAUUAAGGGAAACACCUCUGGAAGACAACUGAUUUUGAAUUUGAGAAGUGAUUGCACACCAUAAUCAGUCAACUGCAUGUGUAUGAACAGGAGCAUCUGCUACUCACAUUUUCAAAACUACCUUUUCCACAGGUACAUUCCAGAGUGCAACAAACCACUUCCACAUGUGGGGGCUGAUCUCUCAACUAUAUAUCUUACCUGCCUUUUGUGUCAUCACAGAUUUCUUUAGAAGUUAAAGUUCACUUCAAAGUCAUGGUGAAGUCAAAACUUUUCCAGGUGCAAGGAUUUAUCUUCAGAGAUGUGGGUGAUCAAGGCCGGGAAAAACUGUGAGUUAGUGGGGGGCUACCUUCCAGCUAACAGAUCUUAAAGCUGGAUCUGCUGAGUCCUGAGCUAAAGAGAAUAAAACCUGGUGCAGAGUGAGGGUCCCCUUCUCAACAGCAAGUUUUGUCUGGACUUGGUCUUGACAGAGGCCUGGUGGGAGCUAUGGCCUGGGCACCCAUGUGGCCCUGGAGCUGCAGAAAAUAC